AUGGGCAGGCUGUUUUUUGGCUUUCUCCUCCAGGAUCCCACCUGGCUCUCAUCUGCUUGGGCCCACAGCUCUGUAGCAUCAUACAGACACUCAUCCUUUUGCACAGACCCUCUGUUUCCACAGGUGCUGUUUGGGGUGGAUUUGCAGCUACAAGAACCAUCUGCAGGCUCAGGCCCCUUGGUGAUCAAAGAAAUUGGAAACCACUGUGCAAAAGAAAAAUACUGCCAAAGGACACGAGCCAGGAGGAGGAGCAGCACAAAGGGCACAGCAAGGGAGACCAGCAUUCACGCAAUGUCCUUGACCAUCUCAUCUCAAAUGCAGCAUCCUUCAUCUCCAACCUUCUGCCAGUGGGAUCCACAAGGGCAGAUUUUCCCAGUUGUGCAGGAAACCUGCAGGACCAAUUCCCUGCUGACCUCAACUCUUCUGCUCUCAGUGAGGUCAGACUUGACCUAGAAAAGUAGUUUCUGUUGCUGGGUUCAUGGGAUCAUGUUUUGUUUUUCAUGUCUGUGGUUUAGCUGCAAAAAUAAAGCUGUUGCAAAAUUCCUGGCUAGUCUUUCC
rnacentral:lncRNA from 1 species